GGGGUGUGCUCUGGGUAAGCGGGUAAUCCUUGCAAGAUUGCCGCCGGUCGGUUCGAUUCCGACACGCUCCACCA
rnacentral:tRNA from 1 species